GCACAUGUGGCGGAAUUGGUAGACGCGCUGGGUUUAGGUUCCAGUAGAGCAAUCUGUGGAGGUUCAAGUCCUCUCAUGUGUA
rnacentral:tRNA from 1 species